rnacentral:rRNA from 1 species
GAUGAACGCUGGCGGCGUGCCUAAUACAUGCAAGUCGAGCGAACGGACGAGAAGCUUGCUUUUCUGAUGUUAGCGGCGGACGGGUGAGUAACACGUGGAUAACCUACCUAUAAGACUGGGAUAACUUCGGGAACCGGAGCUAAUACCGGAUAAUAUUUUGAACCGCAUGGUUCAAAAGUGAAAGACGGUCUUGCUGUCACUUAUAGAUGGAUCCGCGCUGCAUUAGCUAGUUGGUAAGGUAACGGCUUACCAAGGCAACGAUGCAUAGCCGACCUGAGAGGGUGAUCGGCCGCACUGGAACUGAGACACGGUCCAGACUCCUACGGGAGGCAGCAGUAGGGAAUCUUCCGCAAUGGGCGAAAGCCUGACGGAGCAACGCCGCGUGAGUGAUGAAGGUCUUCGGAUCGUAAAACUCUGUUAUUAGGGAAGAACAUAUGUGUAAGUAACUGUGCACAUCUUGACGGUACCUAAUCAGAAAGCCACGGCUAACUACGUG